CUGAGGGGUCAGCGCGGCAUCAGCCUGCAGAGACAGCUACUCUGGACGGUGCCUUGGGAAAGCUGGUCACAGCCCGGCUCAGCUGCUUUGGGGAGUUCAGAGGAGGCUGAGCAUGCGCACUACUCUGGAGAAGCCUGACCACAGCCAAUCGCUGCUCCUCCCUCUAGAAGGAAACCCUGGCUGUACCUGCUCUUUCAUCUCCGGGUGGAAAAUGUCUAUCGGCUGGAAACCUGGAAAAGCUUCGAAGAAUCAUUAUUGGAUAUUCACAGAUCUGCCUGUAUCCUCUGGAUCUUUCAGAAAACGCAGUCUGAGGUAAGGAUUAAACUGUUGA
rnacentral:lncRNA from 1 species